UGAUUGAACGUGCUUGCACGGACUUGACGUUGGUUUACCAGCGAGUGGCGGACGGGUGAGUAACACGUAGGUAACCUGCCCCAAAGCGGGGGAUAACAUUUGGAAACAGAUGCUAAUACCGCAUAACAAUUUGAAUCGCAUGAUUCAAAUUUAAAAGAUGGCUUCGGCUAUCACUUUGGGAUGGACCUGCGGCGCAUUAGCUUGUUGGUAGGGUAACGGCCUACCAAGGCUGUGAUGCGUAGCCGAGUUGAGAGACUGAUCGGCCACAAUGGAACUGAGACACGGUCCAUACUCCUACGGGAGGCAGCAGUAGGGAAUCUUCCACAAUGGGCGCAAGCCUGAUGGAGCAACACCGCGUGAGUGAAGAAGGGUUUCGGCUCGUAAAGCUCUGUUGUUAGAGAAGAACGUGCGUGAGAGCAACUGUUCACGCAGUGACGGUAUCUAACCAGAAAGUCACGGCUAACUACGUGCCAGCAGCCGCGGUAAUACGUAGGUGGCAAGCGUUAUCCGGAUUUAUUGGGCGUAAAGCGAGCGCAGGCGGUUUGAUAAGUCUGAUGUGAAAGCCUUUGGCUUAACCAAAGAAGUGCAUCGGAAACUGUCAGACUUGAGUGCAGAAGAGGACAGU
rnacentral:rRNA from 1 species